GAGCCCGUGGUCUAGCGGUUAUGACGUCUCGUUUACACCGAGGAAGUCCCCAGUUCAAAUCUGGGCGGGCUCA
rnacentral:tRNA from 1 species